AAGUCAUAGAGGAACGCGCCACCGCAUCAUCUCUCCCACCUCCCCCUCCGCCAUUGACUGCCGUAACACAUACGAAAGCUAAAAUUUCAGUUGCGUCCGUGUGCCUCUGCGUGCGAGGAGUUUGCGUCUGCAGACAUCCUCCCUCAUUCCACGAGACAAACUUGCCUCACUAAACUCUCUCUUCUUGCGGCUGUCUACGUCGGUGUUUGUGUGUGUCAUCAUCGUUGUUCUUCUCGCUGCUGCUGCGGCUGCUGUUUGCAUAUUCCUGCGUGCUUGCUAUCCAACAGGUUAGCGCUGCACUCUUCCCUCCCCCUCUUCUCGUUCCCGAAUAGAGAAACUUAUUCAUCCUUGCCUCAUCCACCUCCCCUACACAAUGGUGAAGGAGACCGGCUAUUACAACGCCCUCGGCGUGAGCCCCGAUGCGAGCGAGGAUGAGAUUAAGCGCGCCUAUCGGAAGCUGGCACUCAAGUACCAUCCAGACAAGAACACGGAACCCGGCGCGCAGGAGAAGUUUAAGGAGGUGUCUGUCGCAUACGAGUGCCUGUCGGACCCCGAAAAGCGCAAGCGCUAUGACCAGUUCGGCAAGGACGCGGUGGAGAUGCAGGGCGGCGGCGUCGACCCAAGCGACAUCUUCGCGAGCUUCUUCGGGGGUGGCAGCCGCCCGCGCGGCGAGCCGAAGCCGAAGGACAUUGUGCACGAGCUGCCGGUUCCACUGGAGGCUUUCUACUGCGGCAAGACCAUCAAGCUCGCCAUCACCCGCGACCGCCUGUGCACGCAGUGCAGCGGCACCGGCUCCAAGGUCGCUGGCGUGAGUGCCACAUGCAAGGACUGCGGCGGCCGAGGUGUGCGGAUGAUGACUCGCCAGCUGCAGCCCGGGUUUAUUCAGCAGAUACAAACUGCGUGCCCGGUGUGCAAGGGCAAGGGCACGAACCUGCGAGAGGAGGACAAGUGCGUCAGCUGCCGUGGCCAGCAGAUCAUCAAGGACAAGAAGGUGUUCGAGGUGAUGGUGGAGAAGGGCAUGCACCGCGGCGACAGCGUCACCUUCAGCGGGGAGGGCGACCAGAUUCCUGGCGUCAAGCUCUCCGGCGACAUCAUCAUCAUCCUGGACCAGAAGCCGCACCAGCCUUUAUCCGAAAGGGCGACCAUCUCUUCCUGGAGCAAACCAUCUCCCUCGCCGAGGCGCUCACGGGUUUCUCGCUGAACAUUACCCAGCUCGACGGCCGCGAGCUCGCCAUCUCCUCCACCGCCGGCACCAUCAUCGACCCCGCCAAUAUGUACAGCGUGAGCCGCGAGGGUAUGCCGGUUGCCCACACCGGCGGCAUGGAGCGCGGCGACCUCAUCAUUCGCUUCAAAGUCGUCUUUCCAAAGACGCUGAGGCAGGGGUGUGUGCCAGAGCUGCGCAAGAUGCUGGGCUACCCGCAGCAACCCCCGUUCAAGGACGGCGCCGAGCAGUACACGUUGCAGGAGUCGCACAUCGACCUCGAGAAGGAGGCACGCCGUAACGCCUAUGACGACGAUGGCGACCAGCCGCGCGUGCAGACGGCCGGCUGCGCGCAGCAGUGAUGGUGGCAACUACGCGCCAAGGGGUGCGUGCGGCCCGCUGAUGUGGCAACAGGAGGAGUCGCGGCGCCAGACACGGCGGCGCCUGUCCCGAGAAAGAAUGGGAGAAGAAGUCGUUGGAAAAGAUGGAGAGGAUGGGAGGAGGGACGGCAGGUGAGCAAUGGAGAGAGAGCGAGACUCAGAGAGGGCUUGAGUGACUCACACAAACACCGACACACACACACACAGAGGGACACGUGCCAGCGUCACCUCCUGUUAUGCGUCACGGUCCAGGCUUGUGCAAGCGAUGGCUGUGGCGUGCGUCUUCUUGUGCGCGUGUGUGUGAGGGCGGUUGAGCGUGCGGGCGCGUGGUGGGCGCCGGGAUAUGUAUGUGUGUGUGUGUGCGUGAGGAGGAAAGGUGAGGAGACGCCUCCACGCGCUGCUGCUGCCACCGCGACAACUCCAAAGUGCUCUUAUGCUUCUCUGCUGCUCUGCUCUUUCGGGUGCCUCUCCCUCCUUCCGGUCGCCGUACAGGCGCACGCACCGUCUGUGCUCCUUUUCACUCUUACAGGCACACAUGCACACGGGGCUGGUGGACACGCCCUGUGCAUGCGUGUGCAUGCCUAUGUACGUGUGUGUGUGUGUGCGUGUACUCGCCUUAUUUCUCUCUCAUUUCGCUCUAUUUUUGUUUUUUUUUCUCGUUUUUGUGUGUUUUUUUUUUCGUCGUUCCCUUUCUCUCGUUAUGGGCCGUCGCUGAUGAACCGUUGUGAAUAGCUGCCUCACCCUCUUGGGGUGUGACCUCGUGUGCGUGCGCGCGUGCGUGUUAUGCGUGCGUGUGUGCGCACGCAAGAAUCAGAAACGGAAAACAAAGCAGAGGGCAAAAGGGGGGUGGAGGGGGCGCGCACACACACGCAUACCCCUCCCCCCCAACACACACACACACACACACACACACACACACACACGUCCAUGAGCAUAUGCGCAUCUAGAGACUCACGUUUUUUUCCCCGCACAUACUUGCGCAUCACCAUCAGCCUCAGCGCAUACGCAUCGUGUGCCAUGCCUGCUGCCUCCUGUGACGUUGGAGCGGCGUUGGGCGAUGUUGAGCGCAUGAGCACAGCCCGGCCUGCUUCACACACACACACACACACACACACACAUGCGUGAAGGCGGCACGGAGAGGAGAAACUUGUGAGGCGGCAUGGUGAGCGCGGGAAGUGUGGUGGUGGUGGGUGGGACCCAGAGAACAUUGAAGUGCCAGACGGUGCAACUGCCGCUCUUUGCUCUCUUUCGUCCCUCUACCUCCCUCACUGUGGGGUGUACUUGUGCGUGUGGCUGCUGAUGCGACUCGGUCCGUUGUGUGACACACGCGUUGCUCUCUCUCUGUCUUUUUCUGGUACAUGCACACGUGUAUACAUGUGUGCAUGCAUGCGUGUCUGCGGCAAAGGAAUGAGACGUGGACGAGAAAGGAAAAGAAGAAAGCGAAAGCUCCUUAACUUUUUAUAUAUAUCGUGUGUGCUCCCUCUCCGCCUGCCUCCGUCUAGCGUGUGCUGUGAUAAGCUUU
rnacentral:misc_RNA from 1 species